GUGGGGAAUAUUGGACAAUGGGCGAAAGCCUGAUCCAGCCAUGCCGCGUGUGUGAAGAAGGUCUUCGGAUUGUAAAGCACUUUAAGUUGGGAGGAAGGGUAGUAACCUAAUACGUUGCUACUUUGACGUUACCGACAGAAUAAGCACCGGCUAACUUCGUGCCAGCAGCCGCGGUAAUACGAAGGGUGCAAGCGUUAAUCGGAAUUACUGGGCUUAAAGCGCGCGUAGGUGGUUCAGUAAGUUGGAAGUGAAAUCCCCGGGCUCAACCUGGGAACUGCGUUCAAAACUGCUGAGCUAGAGUACGGUAGAGGGUGGUGGAAUUUCCUGUGUAGCGGUGAAAUGCGUAGAUAUAGGAAGGAACACCAGUGGCGAAGGCGACCACCUGGACUGAUACUGACACUGAGGUGCGAAAGCGUGGGGAGCAAACAGGAUUAGAAACCCCGGUAGUCC
rnacentral:rRNA from 1 species